GGGAUUGCCCUAGUAACGGCGAGUGAAGCGGCAACAGCUCAAAUUUGAAAUCUGGCUCUUUCAGAGUCCGAGUUGUAAUUUGCAGAGGGCGCUUUGGCGUUGGCAGCGGUCCAAGUUCUUUGGAACAGGACGUCACAGAGGGUGAGAAUCCCGUACGUGGUCGCUGGCCUUCGCCGUGUAAAGCCCCUUCGACGAGUCGAGUUGUUUGGGAAUGCAGCUCUAAAUGGGAGGUAAAUUUCUUCUAAAGCUAAAUACUGGCCAGAGACCGAUAGCGCACAAGUAGAGUGAUCGAAAGAUGAAAAGCACUUUGGAAAGAGAGUCAAAUAGCACGUGAAAUUGUUGAAAGGGAAGCGCUUGCAGCCAGACUUGCCUGUAGUUGCUUAUCUGGACUUUUGUCCGGUGCACUCUUCUGCGGGCAGGCCAGCAUCAGUUUGGGCGGUUGGAUAAAGGUCUCUGUCAUGUACCUCCUUUCGGGGAGGCCUUAUAGGGGAGACGACAUGCAACCAGCCUGAACUGAGGUCCGCGCAUCUGCUAGGAUGCUGGCGUAAUGGCUGUAAGCGGCCCGUCUUGAAACACGGACCAAGGAGUCUAACAUCUAUGCAAGUGUUUGGGUGUCAAGCCCAGACGCGUAAUGAAAGUGAACGGAGGUGGGAACCUUUUAGGUGCACCAUCGACCGAUCCUGAUGUCUUCGGAAGGAUUUGAGUAAGAGCAUGGCUGUUGGGACCCGAAAGAUGGUGAACUAUGCUUGAAUAGGGUGAAGCCAGAGGAAACUCUGGUGGAGGCUCGCAGCGGUUCUGACGUGCAAAUCGAUCGUCAAAUUUGGGCAUAGGGGCGAAAGACUAAUCGAACUAUCUAGUA
rnacentral:rRNA from 1 species